GUUGUUGCUGGUUGUUGCACCACUGACAUCGCCGCUCACCGCAUGUGGGUGAUUGGGUUUAUUUUCCGAUCAAAGGACGAGUGUUGAUGCUUUUACUACUGCUGUGCAUAUUGAGUGUGCUUUGUUUGGCCAGAAAUCACAAGAACAGCCACCACCACCACCGUGAGGUGGUGGCUGUCGCCAUAUACCACCACCGACUACCAUAAGGUUAUUAGUCUGUGUGUGUGUUUAUUCUGGGAUUUAGUGUUGUAUAUUGUAAUCGGUGAUGAAUUAAUGAAGGGAAAGCUCAUAACCACCACCGUGAGGUGGUGGUGUGCUUUUUUUGUGUUUAGACUUCGUUUGGGAUGCUUGGACAAAAAUGGACUAGAACCAUAACCACCACCGUGAGGUGGUGGCCGCCGCCGUGAGCCGCCAUUGACCAGCACUACCCGAGGUGGUAGUGGGUGGUGCCCGACUAGGGAAACCCUAAUGGGCCUAAUGAAACCCUAAUGGAUCUAAGGGCUUAGCUUUUGGGCCUAUUGGGUUAGAAACCCUAAUUAGGGUUUAGAAAACCCUAAUUUUGGAAUCAUUGGCUUGGACUAAUCGGGACCCGCAUUUUGGGCCAUUAGGAUUGGAUCAUGUAUUAAGCCCUACCACACCAAAUGAUUCACCUAAUAGAGUGAUGGACUUAAUGGAUUAAGCCCUUAAUGGGUUAAGUAUGAACACUUAACCAUAAUUGUCAUUUCAUGUGAAAACCCUAAUUUUACUUGGGCCUUGAGUUAGGCCUUUCUAUUUGGUUAUGGUGAUUGGGCUAUUGAUGGGUCAUCCGAAAAUAAUCAUAUAGACUAAGAAUAUAUGGAUGGGCUUAGGGUAAGGCUUAUGUGAGGGUUUGGGCCCAAUUUGGAAAAUUGGGCCAUAGCUGGGCCUUGAGGAUUAUGAUAGGUUGGACCAUUGGAAUGCCAAAUGUGUGGACUGGACUAAAUGGUUGGGCCUUAAGAUAAGCCCAUAUAGAGGUUUGGGUCCAAUUUGGAAAUUGGGCCAUAUGUUGGGCCUUAAUUCAUUGAUUGGUUUUGGGCCUUCAGAGUGGGUGUUUGGACCUUGGUUUUCGACCAAGUUAGGCUAAGGGUAAAAUAGUCUUUUUACCCCAACCAUGGACUUAUGGUUAUGUAUUGGAACCCAAUUAUUGUUUGGGUGUCGUUUUGAUGUUGAUAGUUCGAGAAUUUGUCAACCAACAGUUGGAGUUUUUAUCCGCAGGACUUAAGCAGUGACAGGUAUCAUUGGUUUAGAAAGGAAGGGCUCAGCUUGAUCGCAGCGCACACACCCAUGUUUUCUGCAUUAUGUGAUUUGGGACGAACUUUGAUAAAUGUUUUUAGUUAAUCAGGUUUUUGGAAUGUUUGGAUUUAGAAGAUAACUAUGUUGAUUAUAAUAAAAAUAAAAAAUUUACCCUUGAUUUU